ensembl:ncRNA C16C2.9 ncRNA
GUUCCCCGGCCCGACUACUCACCUUUUCGUACCAGAGGACUGUCUCCUCUUUCUCUGUGACUAUCGGAUUUGUGUGCACUCUAGUGGAUUCUUUCAUUGUCGAGUCAAACCAAAUAGCCAUGGGCGAUUCGCGCAAAUUUCCUCCCU